GUGCUCACUUUGGCAACAUAUACACUAAAAUUAUAACAAUGCAGAAAAGAUCAGCAUUGCCUUAAGAAAGGAUGGGACACAAAUUCAUGAAGUGUUCCAAGUUUUU